rnacentral:rRNA from 1 species
UUGGUUAAGUUAGAAAGGGCGCACGGUGGAUGCCUUGGCACUAGGAGCCGAAGAAGGACGGGACUAACACCGAUAUGCUUUGGGGAGCUGUACGUAAGCGUUGAUCCAGAGAUUUCCGAAUGGGGGAACCCACUAUCUUUAGUCGGAUAGUAUCCUUACGUGAAUACAUAGCGUGAGGAAGGCAGACCCAGGGAACUGAAACAUCUAAGUACCUGGAGGAAGAGAAAGAAAAAUCGAUUUCCUGAGUAGCGGCGAGCGAAACGGAAAGAGCCCAAACCAAGAAGCUUGCUUCUUGGGGUUGUAGGACACUCUAUACGGAGUUACAAAAGAAAGUUAUAAAUGAAGCGGUCUGGAAAGGCCCGCCAAAGACGGUAACAGCCCGGUAGUUGAAAUGGCUUUCCCUCCAGAGUGGAUCCUGAGUACGGCGGAACACGUGAAAUUCCGUCGGAAUCCGGGAGGACCAUCUCCCAAGGCUAAAUACUCCCUAGUGACCGAUAGUGAACCAGUACCGUGAGGGAAAGGUGAAAAGCACCCCGGAAGGGGAGUGAAACAGUUCCUGAAACCGUGUGCCUACAAGUAGUUAGAGCCCGUUAAUGGGUGAUAGCGUGCCUUUUGUAGAAUGAACCGGCGAGUUACGAUUUGUUGCAAGGUUAAGCGGAAAAAGCGGAGCCGUAGCGAAAGCGAGUCUGAAUAGGGCGCAUAAGUAACAGGUCGUAGACCCGAAACCAGGUGAUCUACCCAUGUCCAGGAUGAAGGUAAGGUAAUACUUACUGGAGGUCCGAACCCACGCACGUUGAAAAGUGCGGGGAUGAGGUGUGGGUAGCGGAGAAAUUCCAAUCGAACUUGGAGAUAGCUGGUUCUCUCCGAAAUAGCUUUAGGGCUAGCCUCGAGGUAAAGAGUCAUGGAGGUAGAGCACUGUUUGGACUAGGGGCCCUUCUCGGGUUACCGAAUUCAGAUAAACUCCGAAUGCCAUGUACUUAUACUCGGGAGUCAGACUGCGAGUGAUAAGAUCCGUAGUCGAAAGGGAAACAGCCCAGACCACCAGUUAAGGUCCCCAAAUAUAUGUUAAGUGGAAAAGGAUGUGGGGUUGCUUAGACAACCAGGAUGUUGGCUUAGAAGCAGCCACCAUUGAAAGAGUGCGUAAUAGCUCACUGGUCGAGUGACCCCGCGCCGAAAAUGUACCGGGGCUAAACAUAUUACCGAAACUGUGGAUGAACCUCUUCGGAGGUUCGUGGUAGGAGAGCGUUCUAAGGGCGGUGAAGUCAGACCGGAAGGACUGGUGGAGCGCUUAGAAGUGAGAAUGCCGGUAUGAGUAGCGAAAGAAGGGUGAGAAUCCCUUCCACCGAAUAUCUAAGGUUUCCUGAGGAAGGCUCGUCCGCUCAGGGUUAGUCGGGACCUAAGCCGAGGCCGAUAGGCGUAGGCGAUGGACAACAGGUAGAGAUUCCUGUACCAGUGCUAAUUGUUUAACCGAUGGGGUGACACAGAAGGAUAGGGAAUCGCACGAAUGGAAAUGUGCGUCCAAGCAGUGAGUGUGAGAAGUAGGCAAAUCCGCUUCUUGCGAAGCAUGAGCUGUGAUGGGGAAGGAAAUUAAGUACGGAAGUUCCUGAUUUCACGCUGUCAAGAAAAGCCUCUAGGAAGAGUAGUACUGCCCGUACCGCAAACCGACACAGGUAGAUGAGGAG